AACCUGGACUGGACUGCUGGGAUCUGCUGCUGAGCAAGGCACUGGAUCUCAGAAGAACUAGAGAAUGGAACUUGUUCUACUAGCAAACAAGUUCCAUUCAACAGGACUGAAGAUGAGGUGCCAUGAAGACAUCAAAGACAAUGGAGAUACCAUUCCAGGAGAGGAGCGAGAACAGCCUGCAUGGGGACUGAAUUCUUUCUUUCUCUGCCCAGGACUCAUUUUCCUUCCUUUGUUGUCACAGCAGGUGAUUUUCUUACAGAGAAGCAUCUGCUCUCACCCUUGUGGCACAGGUGGCCUUCUCUUGCCACCAAGUCCAGAGGAAUGCGUGCUACCUGGACUUAGCAGAACUUCCUUGUCCCUUCUAUUCCUGUGGCAGUGGGCUCAGAGGACUCAGGCUGGGAAGUGAGAAACUCCCAGAGUGAAGGCUCCU
rnacentral:lncRNA from 1 species